AUUAAAAUUAUAAAUUUCACUCGUAUAAUAGUGAGGAUAUGGCUCACGAGUUUCUACCGGUUAACCUUAAAUUUACCGACUAUGAGUGGUAACACAUCUGUC
rnacentral:ncRNA from 2 species